rnacentral:rRNA from 1 species
CCUACGGGAGGCAGCAGUGAGGAAUAUUGGUCAAUGGACGCAACUCUGAACCAGCCAAGUCGCGUGCAGGAUGACGGCCCUAUGAGUUGUAAACUGCUUUUAUACGGGGGUAAACUCAGAUACGUGUAGCUUUCUGCAAGUAUCGCAUGAAUAAGGAUCGGCUAAUUCCGUGCCAGCAGCCGCGGUAAUACGGAGGGUCCGGGCGUUAUCCGGAUUUACUGGGUGUAAAGGGAGCGUAGACCGCAGCUGAAGUGUGUUGUGAAAUGCCGGGGCUUAACCCUGGCACUGCGGUGGAAACUGGGGGGCUAGAGUGCGGGAGAGGUAGGUGGAAUUCGUGGUGUAGCGGUGAAAUGCGUAGAUAUUACGAAGAACACCGAUGGCGAAGGCAGCUUACUGUAGUGUUACUGACGCUGAGGCUCGAAGGUGUGGGUAUCGAACAGGAUUAGAUACCCGGGUAGUC